rnacentral:rRNA from 1 species
AGGAGCAUGUGGUUUAAUUCGAUGAUACGCGAGGAACCUUACCUGGGCUUGAAAGUUAGUGACAUUCUGUGAAAGCAGAACUUCCGCAAGGACACGAAACUAGGUGCUGCAUGGCUGUCGUCAGCUCGUGCCGUGAGGUGUUGGGUUAAGUCCCGUAACGAGCGCAACCCCUAUCAUUAGUUGCCAUCAGGUCAUGCUGGGGACUCUAAUGAGACUGCCCGCGCAAGCGGUGAGGAAGGUGGGGGCGACGUCAAGUCAUCACGGCCCUUACGUCCAGGGCUACACGCGUGCUACAAUGGUAGAUACAGCAGGUUGCCACAUGGUAACAUGGAGCUAAUCCCAAAAGUCUAUCUCAGUUCGGAUUGAGGUCUGCAACUCGACCUCAUGAAGCUGGAUUCGCUAGUAAUCGAAAAUCAGCAAUGUUUCGGUGAAUACGUUCCCGGGCCUU